GACGAACGCUGGCGGCGUGCUUAACACAUGCAAGUCGAACGGAAAGGCCCUGCUUUUGUGGUGUGCUCGAGUGGCGAACGGGUGAGUAACACGUGAGUAACCUGCCCUUGACUUUGGUAUAACUUCAGGAAACUGGGGCUAAUACCGGAUAGGAGCUCCUGCUGCAUGGUGGGGGUUGGAUCGUUUCGGCGGUUGGGGAUGGACUCGCGGCUUAUCAGCUUGUUGGUGGGGUAGUGGCUUGCCAAGGCUUUGACGGGUAGCCGGCCUGUGAGGGUGACCGGCGACAUUGGGACUGAGAUACGGCCCAGACUCCUACGGGAGGCAGCAGUGGGGAAUAUUGCACAAUGGGCGGAAGCCUGAGGCAGAAACGUCGCGUGCGGGAUGACGGCCUUCGGGUUGUAAACCGCUUUCGCCUGUGACGAAGCGUGAGUGACGGUAAUGGGUAAAGAAGCACCGGCUAACUACGUG
rnacentral:rRNA from 1 species